rnacentral:lncRNA from 1 species
UUCAUCCCGUCUGGAGCAGAUCCUGUUUUGGUCCGCAGGGUUGUGACCAGAAAACAAGUCCUGUUGGUCUCCCACCUCAAUCUGACGGAUAUUAUUUUGACACAGUGUUACAUUUCUGGUUCCAGCUAAGAAAGGUGAUGAAAAGUUGCUUUUUAGACAAAAUAAGCCCUUACCCUCAAAGGAAAGUUGCUCCUGAAAUACAAGCAGAAAUCAGUGGAGUCCUGGUUGCUUCCUCUGCAAAUCGGUGAUGGCUUAUACAAAGAACAGUAUUAAAGACUCCGCGGCUGGACGCGGUGGGUCGCGCCUGUAAUCCCAGCACUUUGGGAGACCGAGUGCAUUGAGGAAUCACUGGAAGAGUUUGAAACAACAGAAGGAUGUGAUUUGACUUUCAUUCUAAGAAUCUCAUGAAUGGAUGAAAAUGAAGGAUCAAAACUAUUUUCUGAAAAUACUAAAACAGGAUUGGCCAUUUCCAUUGUUGUUAUUUGCACUAAUGGUACAAAAGCAAUGAUGGGUAAAACCGCUAGGGUCAGCACAAAUCAAGGCAGUGGCAUCAAACUACACCACACUACUGUACUAGUUGUCGAAUUCCUCAUUGCCACAUGAAAAGAAACAUACACACACACCCCAUACAUGCAUAUAUAUGUAGUCAAAUCUCAACCCUUGAGUACACAUCUUUUUAAUAUUCUUGAGGAUGAACAAAAAAGUGAAAAUGUACUGGUAAAGACCUUCUGUUCAGUACCAAAGCCAGAUGAUUGUCUCAAGGAAAAGAAAUUGUGUGAUUAUUUGAGUUGCUAGCUUAACCAGGGGUCCCCAGCUCCCAGGUGGGGGACUGGUACUGGUAUGUGGCUUAUUAGGAACUGGGCCACACAGCAGGAGGUGAGUGGAGGGCAAGCAAGUAUUAUGGCUGAGCUCAGCCUCCUGUCAGGUCAGCAGCUAUGUUACAUUCUCAUAGGAGCAAGAAUCUUAUUGCUAACUGAGCAUGUGAGGGACUUAGGUUGCGUGCUCCUUAUGAGAAUCUAAUG